rnacentral:rRNA from 1 species
AUGCCCAGCUCGAGCGUGAGAAAACAAGGGGGCUUGAUGGGCCCACUCGGCAAUUUCGCCGAUGCGCAAGCUCGAGCGCGAGAAAACAGGGGGGCUCGAUGGGCCCACUCGACAAUUUGGCCGAUGCGCAAGUUGGAUAUGUUUUUCAAAGACACCAAGAAGCGUGAUGAUCAUGUAAAUGGACUUGUCACGACACCCAGCUCGAGCGCAAGAGAACAGGGUGCUUGCUGGGCCCACUCGGGUAUAAAAGAGUCGGCUCCCGUGGAGGCAACCCUAGCCGGCUCCCCUCCCCCUCCCGCGCGCCUCCUCUCCCUCUCUCUGGUUCCCCUCCCCUCGCCUCCCCUCCCGCACGCCUCCUCUCCUCCCGCCCACAUCACCGCCGCCGCCGCCGCCACCCGCCUCCCCGCGCCGUCGGCGGCCAGACCCACCGCAGCAAAGCCCCCCUCCCUCCCCAACGACGAUGAGCAAAAGCGGAGGGAGGACGAGGAGCACGACGGCGGCGGCAGCGGGGAGGAGCAGCAGCAGGGCAAGGCGGCGUGCUGCGCCGUCCCGCGUCUCCUCUCCUCCGACCACGCCGCGGUGCUGCGCGACGGCGAGUGGGCGCCUGCCCUCCCCGUCCGCGAGCUCGUCCCCGUGCACGGCGGCGGCUCCCGAGCCCUCCUGCUCCGACCCCGCAGAGCAGUCAGCCUCUACCCUGCUUGUGUCAAGGAAGGAAGGGGUCCCAUCCAUGGAGAAGCUGCGGGUGUAGAUGGUACAGCGGCUAGAGAAGAGGAGGUGGAGCAGCAGCACCAGGAUCGUCGGUUGGUUCUAUUGCUAUUUAUUGUGCCAGGACCCUCUUUUGUUGGCCUCAGCCUUCUACACUGUGUAUCCUCUUUUGUUGGCAUCAGCCUUUUUGAUGAUUUUCCAGUGUUAGAACAAGAUGAACAUGUGCCUUACAUGAGCUCUUUGGAUGAUUAUAUCUUUGACAGUGAGGGAAAUUGCUCUGCGGACAACCUGGUACUUUCAGUCCCCCGUCUUAUUGCUCUAGGAUGCCGGUCAUCCUCCAGCCUCCUCAGCCGCUUGGCAUUCUUGGCUGUUGGAUCUGCGUUUCUUUCCGUUGUUGCUGCACUCUCUUUUGGGCGUUCAUUUCAUGCCCGUGAUCUUGCAAAUUGUGCCUGUGCCGAGCUUGCUUUAGAGUACAGGCUGCGGAGACGUCGAGGACCUCAAGGUGAGACACGUUCGAUUAAAGACGCAGGACUCCUCUCCCCGUCAAUCUCGCGCUGCUUCUGCUCACCAUCCCUCUCUCUGACCGCUGCAGGUCACCGAUGUUGUGGAGCUGGACGAGGUUUCCACGCAGUUCAUCGACCGCCUGUUCUUCCUGGAGAAGAUAUUUUGCAGUUCGGUCCAUGCCGUGGCGGAGGGUUGUCUUGUGGUUUGACCGGAGCGGGGGCACACCAGAGAAGCGAUCUCGUCCCCAUUAUUCAGAUUAUCCAACCCCCUCUGCUUCUGUACAAUUUUGUCGACUUAUCUGGCAUUUUCUCAGCCGUGUGGAACCAGCACAUCUACCUGCGAAUCUCCAGGCUAUGA